rnacentral:lncRNA from 1 species
AAAUGAAUUCAUUCCAAAUAUAGCUGACGGCAAUUUAACAGCACGAAGCUGCAUUAACCCUUUCAAGCUGAUAGCUACAAGGGUAAUUCUAUUCAGUUUUAUACAAUAUAAUAUUGCACACGUUAAUCAGCUGCUAAUACAGCAUUUCCUAAUUACAAGCAUUGUUUCAGAGCAUGUAAUUAACUUAGAGUUGAAAAAGUCAGAAU